rnacentral:rRNA from 1 species
CGAACGGUGAACCAGGGUGCUUGCACUAUAGAGGGAUCAGUGGCGAACGGGUGAGUAACACGUGAGCAACCUGCCCCUGACUCUGGGAUAAGCGCUGGAAACGGCGUCUAAUACUGGAUACGAGACGUGAUCGCAUGGUCAAUGUCUGGAAAGAUUUUUCGGUUGGGGAUGGGCUCGCGGCCUAUCAGCUUGUUGGUGAGGUAAUGGCUCACCAAGGCGUCGACGGGUAGCCGGCCUGAGAGGGUGACCGGCCACACUGGGACUGAGACACGGCCCAGACUCCUACGGGAGGCAGCAGUGGGGAAUAUUGCACAAUGGGCGGAAGCCUGAUGCAGCAACGCCGCGUGAGGGACGACGGCCUUCGGGUUGUAAACCUCUUUUAGCAGGGAAGAAGCGAAAGUGACGGUACCUGCAGAAAAAGCGCCGGCUAACUACGUGCCAGCAGCCGCGGUAAUACGUAGGGCGCAAGCGUUAUCCGGAAUUAUUGGGCGUAAAGAGCUCGUAGGCGGUUUGUCGCGUCUGCUGUGAAAUCCGGAGGCUCAACCUCCGGCCUGCAGUGGGUACGGGCAGACUAGAGUGCGGUAGGGGAGAUUGGAAUUCCUGGUGUAGCGGUGGAAUGCGCAGAUAUCAGGAGGAACACCGAUGGCGAAGGCAGAUCUCUGGGCCGUAACUGACGCUGAGGAGCGAAAGGGUGGGGAGCAAACAGGCUUAGAUACCCUGGUAGUCCACCCCGUAAACGUUGGGAACUAGUUGUGGGGUCCAUUCCACGGAUUCCGUGACGCAGCUAACGCAUUAAGUUCCCCGCCUGGGGAGUACGGCCGCAAGGCUA